rnacentral:rRNA from 1 species
UACGGAGGGGGCUAGCGUUAUUCGGAAUUAUUGGGCGUAAAGGGCGUGUAGGCGGCUUCGUAAGUCUUGUGUGAAAGCCCUCGGCUCAACCGAGGAAUUGCACGAGAAACUGCGUGGCUCGAGUCCGGGAGAGGAUAGUGGAAUUCCCAGUGUAGCGGUGAAAUGCGUAGAUAUUGGGAGGAACACCGGUGGCGAAGGCGGCUAUCUGGACCGGUACUGACGCUGAGACGCGAAAGCGUGGGGAGCGAACAGG